rnacentral:rRNA from 1 species
AUUGAACGCUGGCGGCAGGCCUAACACAUGCAAGUCGAGCGUGAAAGCCUUCGGGUGAGUAGAGCGGCGGACGGGUGAGUAACGCGUGGGAAUCUACCUAGUAGUGGGGGACAACAGUCGGAAACGACUGCUAAUACCGCAUACGUCCUAUGGGAGAAAGCGGGGGAUCUUCGGACCUCGUGCUAUUAGAUGAGCCCGCGUAAGAUUAGCUAGUUGGUGGGGUAAAGGCCUACCAAGGCGACGAUCUUUAGCUGGUCUGAGAGGAUGAUCAGCCACAUUGGGACUGAGACACGGCCCAA